rnacentral:rRNA from 1 species
CCUACGGGUGGCAGCAGUGGGGAAUAUUGCACAAUGGGGGAAACCCUGAUGCAGCGACGCCGCGUGAGUGAAGAAGUAAUUCGUUAUGUAAAGCUCUAUCAGCAGGGAAGAAAAGGACGGUACCUGAGUACGAAGCCCCGGCUAACUACGUGCCAGCCGCCGCGGUAAUACGUAGGGGGCAAGCGUUAUCCGGAUUUACUGGGUGUAAAGGGAGCGUAGACGGCAGUGCAAGUCUGGAGUGAAAGGCGGGGCUCAACCCCCGGACUGCUCUGGAAACUGUACGGCUGGAGUGCAGGAGAGGUAAGUGGAAUUCCUAGUGUAGCGGUGAAAUGCGUAGAUAUUAGGAGGAACACCAGUGGCGAAGGCGGCUUACUGGACUGUAACUGACGUUGAGGCUCGAAAGCGUGGGGAGCAAACAGGAUUAGAUACCCCGGUAGUC